rnacentral:rRNA from 1 species
UACAGAGGUCUCAAGCGUUGUUCGGAUUCAUUGGGCUAAAGGGUGCGUAGGUGGCGCGCUAAGUCAGGUGUGAAAUCUCGGGGCUUAACUCCGAAACUGCAUUUGAUACUGGCGUGCUUGAGGACUGGAGAGGAGACUGGAAUUCAUGGUGUAGCAGUGAAAAUGCGUAGAGAUCAUGAGGAAGACCAGUGGCGAAGGCGGGUCUCUGGACAGUUCCUGACACUGAGGCACGAAGGCCAGGGGGAGCAAACGGG